UCCUUGGUGAUGUCUCAGGGAGCUCUUAUGCUCUACCGAACAUAAGGCUUUCUUCCUGUAAACCUGAAUGUGACCUUCUAGAGUCUCUGGUUGUAGCUUCUUUAGUCUCCUGAUUCGAAUGGUGUGCUGCUUUCUUGCCUACAAGCAACAACAGAAACUUUAUUAAACCCAGUACAGACAGAAUUCAUCUUGGAGUUCAGCGAUAUGUUCAAGGAAUCACUGAACUUUAAUGGUAGACAGCUACCAUAAUCUCUUUGCUUGCUACUUCACUAGUGAAUAACAACUGCAGACUCCACAGCUUCUGGUGAAGGCAUUUGGCAAAUUCUUUUCACAAACAACACCAUCAGGAUUGUUUCAUCCAAUUUUACGCAGCAGUUGUCUCAAAACCUGGGACCUAAAUGUUCAUAAAACAAGGGAACACGAGAUGGACCAAGAGAGACUCUCCUGAGACCAAUGGUACAAAAAUUCAGGCAAGCAAUUCAGGAAAGUGGCCCUUUCAUAAGCUGACAAAAAUGAACCUCUUGAAUACAAAAUUCCAAGUAUCAGAAGUAAAAAAUAACAAAACCAGGGAGUUAAGCAAAAGCUAUGUGACUUACUCUCUGAAUGUAGAAUCACUGUACUUAGCAGAAGAUAAAGGGUGAAUUGCUAUCCAAUCUGCGGUUCACUGUCCCCAAGUACCGUUAGAAGUUAGGGACAAUGCUAAAGAAAAAAGGACAGGCAUCACCAAAGACCCAUCAAGCCAAGCCAGUGGUUCCCUCCAUGAGGGUGUGGUCUCUCCAUGAUGUCAGAAAAGACUAAAACCAUAACUGGGAUUUGCCACACUGGGAUCCUAUGGUUUUUCUGAUGUGAUCAAUCAUCUUUUAUUCUUACUGGGGCUAAUGGACUAAUGGAUCAUCAAGGAGUGGCUUUGUUAUACAAGCAUGUUCUCUUGGCAAGUUUACUCUCUCUUACCAUGUGAUGCCCUGCACAAUCUGCUCUGGACAGCAAGAAGGUCUU